AUUGAACGCUGGCGGCAUGCCUUACACAUGCAAGUCGAACGGCAGCACGGGUGCUUGCACCUGGUGGCGAGUGGCGAACGGGUGAGUAAUGCAUCGGAACGUACCCUGGAGUGGGGGAUAACUAUCCGAAAGGAUAGCUAAUACCGCAUAUUCUAUGAGUAGGAAAGCGGGGGAUCUUCGGACCUCGCGCUCUGGGAGCGGCCGAUGUCAGAUUAGCUAGUUGGUGGGGUAAAGGCCUACCAAGGCUACGAUCUGUAGCGGGUCUGAGAGGAUGAUCCGCCACACUGGGACUGAGACACGGCCCAGACUCCUACGGGAGGCAGCAGUGGGGAAUUUUGGACAAUGGGGGCAACCCUGAUCCAGCCAUGCCGCGUGAGUGAAGAAGGCCUUCGGGUUGUAAAGCUCUUUCGGCCGGGAAGAAAUCGCCAUCUCUAAUAUAGGUGGUGGAUGACGGUACCGGAAUAAGAAGCACCGGCUAACUACGUGCCAGCAGCCGCGGUAAUACGUAGGGUGCGAGCGUUAAUCGGAAUUACUGGGCGUAAAGCGUGCGCAGGCGGUUUUUUAAGAUAGGCGUGAAAUCCCCGGGCUUAACCUGGGAACUGCGCUUAUGACUGGAAGACUAGAGUACGGCAGAGGGGGGUGGAAUUCCACGUGUAGCAGUGAAAUGCGUAGAGAUGUGGAGGAACACCGAUGGCGAAGGCAGCCCCCUGGGCCGAUACUGACGCUCAUGCACGAAAGCGUGGGGAGCAAACAGG
rnacentral:rRNA from 1 species